rnacentral:lncRNA from 1 species
GCACCAGGGGAUUUUUCUUACAUAUUUACCAUGAGAACCUAAUAGAGCUCCAGGUGGUAGGACUCACAAAAGUGUGGGGCUUCCCUGUGAUUGGCACCUCCUGGAGUUUUUAACUCUGAGGCUUGUCUACACCAAGCCUCCAGCAUUUCAUUGAUUACACUUUAGGUUUUCCUACCCCAGCACUGCUUCCUGCAGAGGCUCUGUCUCAGUUUUCCAGCUGGGACAUAGUUUUUCUUCUGUCUUUGCACAUGGAUUCCAACUUACACCAUCAGCUCGCCUGCUUCUCAGACUUUCAGACUCAGAUGGAACUAUACUAUAGGUUCUCCUGGGUCUGGACUUCUCAGCCUCCAUAAUCAUAGGUUUUCCUCAAAUGUGUGAUGACCUUAGCUGACCAUUUUCUUUUAAAAGAACUUCUAACAUUUUUCAUUAAGGAAUGUGGGAUUUGAGACCCAAAGAAGUGAAGUAACCUGCCCAAGUUUACACAGCUUGGAGUAGUACCCGAGUUUCUAUGGACUCCAGAGCUCAUGAGUUCACCACUUCACUCUGUGCCUCCUAACUCUAUGCCCCUGAGGACUCGGAGGGAGCCAGUGCUAAUGCUUUCUCCAGUUUCUCUCCUCUUGUGUGAACUGUGUGAACUGCCACUUUAAGACUCUUUUGGAGAAUCAUAAUCCAAGUUGCAAAGUCCAACAAUUCCUCUGGAGAAAUGGUUCUCAACUGGGGGCAAAUUUGGGCCCCAGGAGACAUAUGGCAAUGUCUGAUGAUGUUUUUUUUAAUUGUUACAAACAGGCUGGGGAGAG